UACGUAGGGGGCAAGCGUUGUCCGGAUUUAUUGGGCGUAAAGCGCGCGUAGGCGGCGCGGUAUGUCGUGCGUGAAAUCUCCCGGCUUAACUGGGAGGGGCCGUGCGAAACUGCCGGGCUUGAGGUCGGAAGGGGAAAGUGGAAUUCCGGGUGUAUUGGUGGAAUACGUAGAUAUCCGGAGGAACACCAGCGGCGAAGGCGGCUUUCUGGUCCGAUACUGACGCUGAGGCGCGAAAGCGUGGGGAGCGAUCCGG
rnacentral:rRNA from 1 species